AUUGAACGCUGGCGGCAUGCUUUACACAUGCAAGUCGAACGGUAACAGGCCUUCGGGUGCUGACGAGUGGCGAACGGGUGAGUAAUGCAUCGGAACGUACCCAGAGGUGGGGGAUAACGCAGCGAAAGCUGUGCUAAUACCGCAUGUGAUCUGAGGAUGAAAGCGGGGGACCGAGCAGCAAUGUUUGGCCUCGCGCCUUUGGAGCGGCCGAUGUCGGAUUAGCUAGUUGGUGGGGUAAAGGCCUACCAAGGCGACGAUCCGUAGCUGGUCUGAGAGGACGACCAGCCACACUGGGACUGAGACACGGCCCAGACUCCUACGGGAGGCAGCAGUGGGGAAUUUUGGACAAUGGGCGCAAGCCUGAUCCGGCAAUGCCGCGUGCGGGAAGAAGGCCUUCGGGUUGUAAACCGCUUUUGGCAGGAACGAAACGGUGUCCGCUAAUACCGGGCGCUAAUGACGGUACCUGCGGAAUAAGCACCGGCUAACUACGUG
rnacentral:rRNA from 1 species